GUGAAACCGCGAAUGGCUCAUUAAAUCACACCUAAUCUACUGGAAAGUCCCCAGUUACUUGGAUAACUGAGGUAAUUCUUGAGCUAAUACAUGCGAGAAAACCCGACUCACGGAGGGUUGCUUUUAUUAGAUCAAAACCAAACGGCAGCAAUGCCGUCCACCUUGGCGAUUCUGAAUAACUUUGGGCCGAUAGCAUUGCCUUGCGCAGGCUACGUUUCCUUCGAAGGUGUGCCCUAUCAACUUUCGACUGUGACACAGCUGAUCACAGUGGUUUUGACGGGUAACGGGGAAUCAGGGUUCGAUUCCGGAGAGGGAGCCUUAAAAACGGCUACCACAUCCAAGGAAGGCAGCAGGCACGCAAAUUACCCAAUGGUCGAAGACCGAGGUAGUGACGAAAAAUAACAAUACUGGACUCUUCCGAGGCCCAGUAAUUGGAAUGAGUACACUUUAAAACCGUUCCCGAGGAUCUAUUGGAGGGCAAGUCUGGUGCCAGCAGCCGCGGUAAUUCCAGCUCCAAUAGCGUAUAUAAAUGUUGUUGUGGUUAAAAAGCUCGUAGUUGGAUCUCGGCGGGCAGCGGUCGGUCCGAAUCGCUUCGGUACUGACGCGUUUGGCCCGUGUGUGUUUGCCGACUUCCGGGCCGGUGCUCUUGAUCGGGUGUCGGCUUCAGGGGUCGGGCCGGCUUCGGCCGUGCUCGGCCCUGCGGAUCGGCAGUUUUACUUUGAAAAAAUUAGGGUGCUCAAAGCAGGCUUGUCACGCUUGAAUAUUCGUGCAUGGAAUAAUGGAAUAGGAAGUCGUUCCUAUUUUGUUGGUUUUCGGGAACCGACUUAAUGAUUAAUAGGGACAGUCGGGGGCAUUUGUAUUCAGACCCUAGAGGUGAAAUUCUUGAACCGUCUGAAGACAAACUACUGCGAAAGCAUUUGCCAAGGAUGUUUUCCUUAAUCAAGAACGAAAGUUAGAGGUUCGAAGGCGAUUAGAUACCGCCCUAGUUCUAACCAUAAACGAUGCCAGCCAGCGAUCUGCCGGUGUUUCAUCUUGAACGACUUGGCAGGGAGCUUCCGGGAAACCAAAGCUUGUGGGUUCCAGGGGAAGUAUGGUUGCAAAGCUGAAACUUAAAGUAAUUGACGGAAGGGCACCACCAGGAGUGGAGCCUGUGGCUUAAUUUGACUCAACACGGGAAAUCUCACCAGGCCCGGACACCAGAAGGAUUGACAGAUUGAUAGCUCUUUCUUGAUUUGGUGGAUGGUGGUGCAUGGCCGUUCUUAGUUGGUGGAGUGAUUUGUCUGGUUAAUUCCGAUAACGAACGAGACUCUGUCCUGCUAAAUAGGCCCGACCUUUUCUUAUUUCAGGCUGGCCAGCGUCGGCUUCGGUUUGUGUUCGGCGGCGCCUCCGGUGUCCGUCGGGGCGGCCGGGUCGCGCCCCAGCCUGCGGGUCGGGUUUUCUUCUUAGAGGGACUGGCGAUUGUUAGUCGCACGAGAUAGAGCAAUAACAGGUCUGUGAUGCCCUUAGAUGUUCUGGGCCGCACACGCGCUACACUGAAAAGAUCAGUAGUUUCUCCCUCUCCGAGAGGAGCGGGAAAACUGUUGAACCCUUUUCGUGGUAGGGAUUGGAGCUUGCAAUUGUUCUCCAUGAACCAGGAAUUCCCAGUAGGCGCGAGUCAUAAGCUCGCGUCGAUUACGUCCCUGCCCUUUGUACACACCGCCCGUCGCUACUACCGAUUGAGUGUUUU
rnacentral:rRNA from 1 species